rnacentral:lncRNA from 1 species
GGAAAACCAACUUCCAUGUUGUGAGUUGUUCUCUGGAGAGAUCCACAUGGCAAGAAAUUGAAGGAGGCCUUUGAUUGAAGAACUGAAUCUUGCCAACUACAUCAGUGAGCUUGUGAAGUGAAGUGGGUGUGCCUGGGAUCACACACAGCUGUGCAAUACCAAGUGACAUGGGACUUAUACAAAGGCAGCACCACUAGUCAUGCUGGAAGUUUCCCCAAGAAGCAGGGAAAAUUCAUGACGUGAUAUAUAAGAAAAAGUUGAAUUGCUUGAUAUGGACCAUUGAUUGAGGUCUGCAGCUGCAGUUGCUGCCAUCUUAGACCGACUGUUCAUCUUGUAAACUUACAGAAUCAAUAAAUACG